rnacentral:tRNA from 1 species
GAAACAAUUUAUAUAAGCUUCUAACUUAUUUAAAAUGAUUAAUUUCAUUUUGUUUCU